rnacentral:rRNA from 1 species
UACAGAGGGGGGCAAGCGUUAUUCGGAAUUAUUGGGCGUAAAGGGCGCGUAGGCGGCUUGGCAAGUGGAAGGUGAAAUCCCUCGGCUUAACCGAGGAACUGCCUCCCAAACUGCUUCGCUUGAGACCAGGAGAGGUGAGUGGAAUUCCCAGUGUAGCGGUGAAAUGCGUAGAUAUUGGGAGGGACACCAGUGGCGAAGGCGGCUCACUGGCCCGAUACUGACGCUGAGGCACGAAAGCGUGGGGAGCAAACAGGG